GGUUUUUAACCCACUGAGCCAGAAUGGGAACUCCCACACACAGUUUCCUUUUUCAAAAGUGUGUUUUGUUUUCAAGGUUAUUUUGCCAUUAAUUAACAUAGGGGAAUGGGACAACGUGGAUGCCCGAAUCUUUUCGUAUAAUUUUUUACUUGUUGAUCCAUGGCUGGUAUUGGAUUCCAUUUCUGAAAAUCUUCCUGGUGCUCUCUUAUUGCAUUCCUAGGGGCAAGGCAGUCCCUGGAGCACAGCUCUCUUCCCACCUCACCAGGAACUCAGCCUCUUGGCUCACAAGAGAUGUUCCUUCCUUGGCAUCUGAGGACCCAAAUGCUGGAACCCCUGCCUGCCCAGGAAUCAUUCCUCUGGAUAUUUCUUAGGCAUUUUUUCCUUUUGUAAACCAUGCAAUGUUAUUUUAGAACAAUUCUAUUUCCAACGAAUUUUUUUUUUUUUUUUAAGAUUUGGCUUUAAAAAGAUAGGUUUUGGCUAUUCAAAAAGGUUACUUAUAUAAACUGCCUCAUUCAUUCCUAAGCAAAGGGAAUUCAUUCAUGAGACUGGGAACCUGAGCUCUGUCUUCCAGGGAGGGCUUUGGAACCCUAGAGACUAGAGUUUGAAACCCCUUUACAGGCUGAGGCGGGCCAGGGAUGUCCCUUAACCACUCUGUUGCUCCAUCUUCAAAAGGCGAGGAUAAUAUGGCCUCACCGAGGUCUUGGAAGGAUUAAAUGGGAUGGUGUCUGCAGAGACCUCGUGGCAUCAGGCCCCGGCGACUGCUCAUAGGACAGUCUCUUACAAUCACAGCAAGGCAUUCAGACGGCAAGAGCAGCCGUCCUCUCUUGCUACGAAACAUUUGGGUCUAAGUGUCUGAAGUGGUAAUCAUUCAAAAUCUGGCUGUGCGCGUUUUAAAUCUGCUCUGCAGAAAGGGCCCGGAGGAGUUAAACAGGAAUAUCAUUUUUAGUUGUUUUGGAGUUUUUCCUCUUUGUUUAACAUCAAAGUGGUCUGCAGUCCAUUUUGCCAGUUGAUACAUAUUGUUGUACUCACAGAAAGGCUGGAGGAGCUGAGCUGGCUGCCUGAUUAGCUGUGACUCCUUUGCAGACUGGCUGAGAGACCAAAUGGAUUCUACCCCUUUAAGGUUUUAAUGAUAAGGGGGCGGGGGUGGGGAGACGCUCCUUCCUUUUGGAAGGAGACUCUGUGGAGGCCCCGCUAAUAAAUCAUUUGUUCUCUCUGACUGCACUCUCGCAUUCACAUGGGCACAGACUCAGAUGGUUUCCACUUGAAAUUUCUCGUCAAGUGCAAAUAGCUCCCAGCCCGAAUGGGAGAGGCUUUGAGAGGGGAGGCGCAGCUUGUGACCGGUCCCGGGGACUCACGUGUGGGUGUACAAAGCCUGUGCCGCACAGGAAACGAAGUCAAAGGCUCCCUUUGUCCCCACCCCCUCCCCCCCAAGAGGAGAAAAUCAGCCCCAGCGAGGAUUUUGGAGCUGGACGGGCUGGCGCGAUCCUGGAGAAUCACCCCCGAAGCCUGCGCUCUCCCAGGGAACGCUUUGCCAGGCUCUGAAGAAGCUACGCAGGCUCGGGAGGAAAAGCAGCAGCGGAAAAGCUGUAUGGAGGAAGCAGCCUCUGUAUGUUCCAGCUGAGAGAAUGCCCACACGGCCGAGACAGCAAGAGCAAUGGAGUAAUGGUCUAGGAAACAGCUGAAGUGAGCCAACCCGGGGUUGCUAUCUGCCUGCAAAGCAGCGAUAAAAGGAGCGCAAGGCCGUCUGGUUCAAUUUUUGGAGGAUCCACAGCUAUAGGGCCCAGACGUAAGCUGAAUGUGCUUCUGAGGUUGCAAAAAUUGGCUGUUUCUUUGACCAUAUUAUUCACCUGCCUAACUUACUGCUAGAAAACUGCUAAGGAAGACAUUCAGAAUUGGAAAAGGAGAAAAAGAUCUUAAGCAGCAUUGAGAGAUAUUUUAGUGGUUAAGAGGAUGACCUAGGAGUUCCCGUCGUGGCGCAGUGGUUAAUGAAUCUGACUAGUAAACCAUGAGGUUGCCGGUUCGAUCCCCGGCCUUGCUCAGUGGGCUAAGGAUCUGGCGUUGCCAUGAGCUGUGGUGUAGGUUACAGACGCACUAGGAUCCCGCAUUGCUGUGGCUACAGCUCCAAUUCGACCCCUAGCGUGGGAACUUCCAUAUGCCGUGGGAGCGGUCCAAGAAAUGGCAAAAAGACAAAGAAAAAAAAAGAGGAUGGCCUUCAUGGUUUCGACAUGGACUUAUUCUCAUGACGGUGCUGAAAGUUAGGACACAAAUGCCGUGGGGUGUGGUCCUUGCCUGCCCUGACGUAGCUUCACAAUCCUGUUGGGGGCAACAAAGCUAACACAGGCAUUUAAAACAGUGGCAAGACGGAGUUCCUGCUGGGGCGCAUCAGGAUCAGCGGCCUCUUUGGAGUCCUGGGACACAGGUUCGAUCCCUGGCCUGACACAGUAGGUUAAGGAUCCAGUGUUGCCACAGCCUCCUGGUGUAGGUUACAACUGUGUCUCAGAUCUGAUCCCUGUCCCAGGAACUCUAUAUGCCAUGGAGCUGCAAAAAAUAAAUGAAUAUGUAAAUAAAUGAAACAGUUCCAAGAGGCCAGGCCAGGCUGUGGAGGAGAGGGUGGAGAAGGCACAGGACAUAGUCCCUUCCCUCCCCGGCCCUAGGGAGUGCCGGGCCCGGGCGUGUCAUUGCUCUGGCCUGGAGUCCUCCUGUGUAUUAAAGGAGUCAAAUGCAAUAAUCUCCUCAAGUUCCUUAGAGCCUUGAUCUUCAGAAUCUAAUUACCACCACCAGUCAGUCUAGUGUAUAACCCAGCAGUAAAGGGAGGGAGGCAGACGGAGGAUGCUGUGAGACCCUGGGUUCGGGAAGGGCUUGUGUCUCCAUGAACUGGACGGCUGCAGGAGGAACCUCUGCAGAGCUGGGGCUCAGGCUGGACUUGGAAAAGCCGGCAGGAGACCUAGCGAUAAUCGCUAAUCCUGUGAUCGCAAGGUGUGUUUGGAGAACAGGGAGGAGGCCAAACGGUCCCAGCGGUCUGGGAGCGAGAGGGAAGCUGGAAAGUUGGGCUGGGGCCAGCUGGCGGGUGUAGAACUCUGGCCUAAGGAGCUAGAGGCUGAGCUUGUGGGUAAAAGGCGGCCAUGGCAGGGCUGAUGGAACAGAGGGCAGGCUGCUCUAGGUGUGUUUCUGGGACAGCGUGGAAGCAGCCCAGCCCUCAUUUUUGGCACAGGUCCUGUCCCCUCCUUGGCGUCAGAAGCUUCAACUCGCUGCUUUUCCCCACUUGGCGGUGCUCAGUCAACCACCGGCAGAGCACUGGGUCAGAAGACAGGGCAAAAGACAAGGAAGUGAUAAACGGGGACAGUGGUAAUUGCAUUAAAUUUUUUUUUAUUUUGCUAAAAUAUACAUAGCAUAACAUUUAAAUUGUAGCCACCUUUAGGGAUACAAUUUGCUGGUAAGUCCACUCACAUUGUUAUACCACGGUCACCACCAUCCCUUUCCAGAACUUUUUUUAUCAUCUCAAAUAGAAACUCUGUACCUGUUAAACAACAACUCCCCAUUCCUCCCUCCUCCCCUGCCCCUGGGAACCACAUUCUACUUGCUGUUUCUAUCAAUUUGCCUGUUUUAGGUACUGCAGAUGAGUAAAUUCAUACAAUGUUUGACCUUU